AGAAAAAAAAAACAAUAAAGAGAUAGUUUUCUGAAAAUAAAAAGAGAUAGAGCGAAACGAGGUUUUGAGUCACGUAAUCGCUUGAUUGAUUCGCAUAGCACAAGAAACCCUAGAUACAAAAUUCUAAAUUAUCCAUUGAUACAUUCUCUACUCAUCAAUUCGAUUUGAAUUGUGUUGUGUUGUUAGCUAUGGACGCUCAACGAGCUCUCCUCGACGAACUCAUGGGUUCAGCUCGAAACAUGACUGAGGAAGAAAGAAGGGGUUACAAGGAAGUGAGUUGGGACGAUAAGGAAGUUUGUGGUUUCUAUAUGGUUCGCUUUUGCCCUCACGAUCUCUUCGUCAAUACGCGCAGUGAUCUCGGAGCUUGCCCGAAAGUACAUGACCCGAAGUUGAAAGAAAAUUUUGAGAAUUCCCCAAGGCAUGAUGCGUAUGUGCCUAAAUUUGAAGCCGAUCUUGCUCAAUUUUGUGAGAAAUUGGUGAUGGACUUGGAUAGAAGAGUAAAACGUGGACGAGAACGUCUUAAUCAAGAGGUGGAGCUACCACCGCCGCCACCACUGACAGCUGAAAAAUCUGAACAGUUGUCUGUCCUGGAGGAGAAAAUAAAGAACCUUCUGGAACAAGUUGAAUCUCUUGGUGAAGCUGGGAAGGUUGAUGAAGCUGAAGCUCUUAUGAGAAAGGUGGAGACACUUAAUACUGAGAAGGCAGUCUUAACACAACCUCAAAAUGAAAAGGUGUUAAUGCUUCAGGAGAAGAAGAUGGCACUCUGUGAGGUAUGUGGUUCAUUUCUUGUGGCAAACGAUGCUGCAGAAAGAACUCAGUCUCAUGUCGCAGGAAAGCAGCAUGUUGGCUAUGGUAUGGUUCGUGACUUCAUAAAUGAACACAAGAUUGCUAAGGAGAAGGCUAAGGAAGAAGAAAGAUUGACUCGGGAAAAAGAGGUAGAAGAGCGAAGAAAACAAAAGGAGCAGGAUCCUGAGAGAAAGAGACGGAGUGAUUCAAGUGAUAGGGAGAAAUAUCGUGAUAAAGAUCGAGAUAGGCAGCGUGAUAGGUACAGAGAUAAAGACUCGGAUCGUGAAAGAUCUCGGGAAUAUGAAGGUAGAGGUAAUCGAGAUCGGGGAAGGGGGAUGGUUUCUAGGUUGAGGAAUGAAAAAAAUGGAAGCAGAGACAGGUACCACAAUCGGAGCAGAUCACGUUCCCCUAUUAAGCAUAACUACAGAAGGUCUUGAAGUUGUGUUUGCUCCAAGUAGUGGAAUUUCUCGAUAGAUGUCAGAAUUUAAAUUCAAAAGAGAGCUUUCUUGAGACUAUACAAUCUCCCUUUCAUCAAUAUUAUUAAUGGAGUAAAGGGUCGAGGUAGGCAUUUCACCGUUGUAACUUCUCUCAUAAAUUGGUUUGCGUCUUAAUUUUAAGUUAUUUAUGAUAAUUCAUCUCAAACAUUGUGUGUAGUCUUUCUUUACAUGCAUUUUCUGGAAAUCAUUUGACUGAGUAAAGAUGUCAGACACAAAAUUACAUGAGUGAUUGUCAUUGCCGCAAAAGUGGAUGAUUUACUCUUGUUUUGAGGUAACAUGUGAAUCUUAUUACCUUGAGGCAAAGAUUGGUAUUUGUUCAUAGAAAUGUUUCUGUUUGCCCUUUUUGUAUGUUUCAUUACUUUUGUUCCUUAAGUUGAUAUAAACCAGCACAGGUUUAUAAAUGCUGCUUAUUCUGACAUACAUUUGACAUUGAACUACACUCUGAAGGCACCUGUUUAGAAGAUAUAGGUAAUCUUACUGAAUUUGUUGUUAGGCACUACUCGAAUCCAUGGUACUCAUACUCAUAAUUUUAUUGGGGAAAAGAUGAUUGCAUGUUGUCACCUCAAAACUCAGCAGUUUUACUUUGAGUUUGUCCAAUUGGUAACUCGUUUGGAAUGGUGAACUACCUCAUCCUUAAAAAAAAAAAAGUUUGAUGUGCAAAAUACUGUUUUAAUUGAACAUAUAGGACUGGAAAAUACAGGUAUUUAGCCCUUUGCCAAGUUAAUUUAUAGAGACAUAGUCAUUUGCAAGAAAAACUGUCAUUGAACAGGGCCUUGGGAUGCUUCGUUUUUUGUGAACAAGCAAGUUAUUGUCUGUGCGAUUGGAGGUAAUUGGCUCUCAUAUCUGUUAAGAGUGUUUAAUUUGGUGUUCAGGAACACACAAAUGUCGUUGUGAAUUAUGAUAUUUAAUUGCUAGAUAGCUUCUGGACGUGAUAUGUGCAGGUAAAUAACUGCUUCAUGAUGGGAGAAACAACACAAUGAAAAUUUAGCUUAUUCUUUUUAGAUUGUGAAGAAAGUGAUGUUACAUUACUCAACUGGAAGUCAAAACGUUGGUAAAUCUUGGUAGUACUUUUGAAAUUCAGUCUUAAUAAUGAUUGUAAAGUUCCACGAAAAUAAAAAUGAGCGACUUUGAAAUAA